UACGGGGGGGGUAAGCGUUGUUCGGAAUUACUGGGCGUAAAGGGCUCGUAGGCGGCCAACUAAGUCAUACGUGAAAUCCCUCAGUUUAACUGGGGAACUGCGUGUGAUACUGGAUGGCUUGGAUUUGGGAGAGGGAUGCGGAAUUCCAGGUGUAGCGGUGAAAUGCGUAGAUAUCUGGAGGAACACCGGUGGCGAAGGCGGCAUACUGGACCACAUCUGACGCUGAGGCGCGAAAGCCAGGGGAGCGAACGGG
rnacentral:rRNA from 1 species